ensembl:lncRNA LINC01876 long intergenic non-protein coding RNA 1876
AGUUUGAUCUCAGACUGCUGUGCUAGCAAUCAGCGAGACUCCCUGUGAGUAGGACCCUCCGAGCCAGGUGCGGCUUAUAAUCUCGUGGUGCGCCGUUUUUUAAGCCGGUCGGAAAAGCGCAGUAUUCGGGUGGGAGUGACCCGAUUUUCCAGGGAUGGAAGAAGAUACUUGGAAAAAUCAGGGAAGAGUGAAGAAGAUACUUCAAAAAAUCGGGGAAGAUUUUCAUCAUAAGGUCCAAGCAAAGGCAUGAGUAUAAGAUAUUCCUGAGCCUGAGUCUACUGACAAAUAUACCACAUCCCCAGAGUAAGUUGGAGUCUCUUAAAAUUGUCUUGCUGGCAUCUAGCGGAGAUUGUCCCCACAAGCAUGUUCCUUAUGACGGAUGCCUGGGUCAGAACACAUAAUACAUUCCUUUUUAUAAGCACAAAGAUUCUGAGAAGCACUGCCCCUCCCACGUGUCACACUCUGGGGAGAGAUUAUUGGAAUGCCUCUUGGAUCAGGUAUCUUUGGUGAUCAUUCCACCUAGUUAAGAUGAAGCUGGUGAUAGCCUUUGGCUUGUUUCAGAUCAGUGCUUGAGAUAUUGUGCAGACCCUGAACUUGAUGGAUCAGCUGGCACCACCCAGAUGGAUAAACUGGCUCAUCUGAUCUUGUGGCACCCAACCCAGGAACUGACUCAGCGCAAGAGGACAGCUUCAACUCCCUAUGAUUUUAUCUCCGACCCAACUGAUCAGCACUCUUGACUCACUGGCCUUCCCCCAUCUGUUGUGGGACUUUUCCUUAGUUCACCUAAAAAUGCGGUCCUUGUCACACAGCCAUGAAAAUUUAGGCUCACAGACGAUUUGAAGAGUGAGAAAAAAUGGGAUUUCUUGGUUGAAAAGGAAAAAAAA